rnacentral:rRNA from 1 species
AACGAGCGCAACCCUUGUCUUUAGUUACCAUCAUUCAGUUGGGGACUCUAGAGAGACUGCCGGUGAUAAACCGGAGGAAGGUGGGGAUGACGUCAAAUCAUCAUGCCCCUUAUGGCCUGGGCUACAAACGUAAUACAAUGGCGUAUACAAAGGGAUGCGAAAGGGCGACCUGGAGCAAAACUCACAAAGUACGUCUCAGUUCAGAUUGGAGUCUGCAACUCGACUCCAUGAAGGCGGAAUCGCUAGUAAUCGCGGAUCAGCAUGCCGCGGUGAAUACGUUCUCGGGUUU